UACGAAGGUCCCGAGCGUUGUUCGGAAUCACUGGGCUUAAAGGGUGCGUAGGCGGCGCGACAAGUUGGGUGUGAAAUCCCUCGGCUCAACCGAGGAACUGCGCCCAAAACUGUCGUGCUCGAGGGAGACAGAGGUGAGCGGAACUUAGGGUGGAGCGGUGAAAUGCGUUGAUAUCCUAAGGAACACCGGUGGCGAAAGCGGCUCACUGGGUCUCUUCUGACGCUGAGGCACGAAAGCUAGGGUAGCGAACGGG
rnacentral:rRNA from 1 species